UACUCCUAACUUUUUUGUACUCUCUCUCAACACAUUCUAGAGAGAGAAAGAGAAGCGGUUGUGUCUGUGCACAAUGCAACGAAUCGUACCGUUGAAGGUGUGUUUGGGAGCAUUUUUCUUCUCGUACAAGUUUUGUUCCGGAGGGGUUCGUUUCCAAUUUCAAAAUCCCUCUCUCUCUCUCUCUCGGAGGAAGGAGGAAGGAGAUAAUGCAGGUUCUGUCUCUGCGGCUUCAAUACAACCGUCGGAAAACCGCCCUGGCGGACAUCAGCACAAGACAACUCCCAGUUCUGAAGAUCAGCCUCGACGGCGUUGCCAACAACCACCAGCGGUUGGAGAUUACAAACCGAAAUUUGGGAGAUAACGGAGACGUGAGACUUUUCCAGGUGAUGAGGAAGGGAGGAAUUGGGAAGUGACGCGAGCUUCCGAAACGUUCCCUUUUCUACCUCUCUAAUUAUACAGAUUUUUGUUUAGCUUCUGCACCCGUAUUUUGUUGCCUUCAUCAAAGUGAAGUCUGUUUGAACCCCAAAAAUUGGAUUGUUUAUGUUUUUUGUAUCAUAAAUACAUUCUAAUCCGGAAAUUCUCAUGGUGUCAUAGACCGAAUAGAAGCUACGUGUCUGUGACAUCUGUGGAGCAUUUUUGAGCAUCUAGGUAGGACAGGUAAAUCUUCUUUUUAGUCUUCUGUAAUUGCAGUUACCGUUCUACUUUGUUAAGGACGACAAAGAUCUAGUACUUGGGGUUUUAGGUACUUCAGCUUUUGACAUGGUGAUUAUACCUCCUUGUUGCCCGCAGGCUUUUCACCCAGUUUUGGAGGAUAAACUUUUGCAGCUAAAGAAUUGACCGCUGUUUAGCUGAUCAUUUUGGAGGAAAGCUUAACUUGGGCUAUAUGCAAGUCCGUGAGAAGUUAGCUGAGCUUCUGGUUCUGCUGGAGUCACAAUUGCCUUUUUAUGAUAUUUAGUUCUUGUAAGUAUAAUGACUUCUCUUAUUAGACCCUUGGUUGUUGGAGGUUGAGGUCGAAAAACUUGAAUAUAAUUGCCAUUUGAUUGAGAUUUCAGUUGAAAGCAUGGUAUUUAACCCGGGCAAAUAAAUAUGGUUUUUAAUUGACCCAGUGAAUUAAAUUAUUCUUCAGUUGAAGUUGAACAGGUUCUUGUUGAGUGGGCUUUGGAGAAAAACAGUUUUCUAGUGGUAUUUAACCCGGGCAAAUAAAUAUGGAUUUUAAUUGACUCGGUGAAUUAAACUAUUCUUCAGUUGAAGUUGAACAGGUUCUUGUUGAGUGGGCUUUGGAGAAAAACAGUUUUCUAGUGGAACUUGAACAUGUUUGUGUUGACUAGGCUUUCAGACAUUGAGAGGCUAUGGUUAAUGCAUAGCUUAUGUAGAGUGUCUAUAGGGAAUAUCUCUAGCUUGACUGCCUGAUGCAUUGAAUUUUUUUCAAAUGGGUGUUUCAGUAGUGCUCUCCUCUCAAUUAAUUUUUCAGGAAGAGAGGAACAAUCAAUAGAUGGUCUUAGAAGAGGAGAGAAGCUAUUUCAGAUUCAUUUUUUUGUUUUGUUUUCUCUCUUCCUUAUCUAGAGGCCUUUAAACCACGACCUCCCUAGUGGGGCUGGGUCUUGGAUUGAUUCUCUAAUUGUACAGAUUUUUUUCGGCUUCUGCACCCGUAUUUUGUUGCCGGAGAAGCUAAACGAGGUUUUGGGAGGGCUGGAGACGCUGCGGCUGUGCAAACGAGGUAUUGGAAGGGCUGGCGAUGCUUCGGCUAUGCAAAAGGAUUGACACGGAAGCGUUACCAUUUCUCCUCGGCGUAGGCCAUUUGAAGGUAUUGAAAUUGCCCCAAUGCCAGUCUCACGUCUAUAAAUGUAUGAAGGUUUGUAAUUAGUGUUCUUUCACUGCAAAUUUGGUCUUUGUUUAGUACUGCUUCAGUACUUAUCCCCUAUUUUAUCCUGUGUGUUUGUUCCUGGGUCAAUUUCAGUGAAUUUGCUGUUAGAUUGCAAUGAGGAUGAAAAAAGCCCCGUCUUUUGCCUCUAAAGUCGAGGACGGAUUGAAGCCAAGAAGACUUUUAUCUACUCAAAAAAUACCCUCAUUAAAAAAUCACCUAAUCAAAAAGUAACACUUGUUACGACAGUUACAAACCAAGAGCUCACACCCCACGUUCAGUUCCCUCCAAAAACCAACCAACUCCUUUCUCUUCUUCCCCACGCAUUACUCCCACAAAAAACAGUUUGCUCCAAAACCCACCCUACUCCUUCCCCACGCACAGACAUGGUUCUAAAUUCAUAAAGUUUUCUAUGCAGGUGCUUUUUGAACUGGACUUUGUAAAAUUCUAUAUGCUGAAGGCGGCCAAAGAUGAGAACCAAAGAAGUUACUCAUGCUCGACUCAUUAAAAUCUUGUUCAAGAACGGUUUGUUAUACGAGGCUGUUGCAGCCUUCUAUUUUGUUUUCAAAUGUUGAGCCAGGCCCAAGUUUAUUGUCAUUGAUUGGUUCUUAAUCAAAACAGCUAUCUGGGGGCGAAGUUAAUAUCCUUGAACAUAGACUGGAGACUACAGAGAAGACUAUCCAAAUUUCUGGUACUCUAGAAGGUGACCUUUGAAUUCAUGUGGUACUGUAGACUUGGUCGCAGUUAUGAAUCUAUCUAUAUGUACAAGUCUUGAGGAAUACCGCCACAAAUAGUACAUGCGUGUCUAUCAACCACUCCAUCAUCCUCAGCUCUUUGUUUGAAUAGCCUUGGUGGGAAGCGCAAGCCAGAAUUUAGUAUGAAACUUUAACAUGGAGAUAGUGUGGAUGUACUUAAAGUUCAUUAUCUCUGCUUGAUCUCAAGCAACUGUAGAAGACCCAUUGUCUUAAGCAACUAUCCCUAUAUUGUUUGCUGGGCAAGGAUAAUUGCAGAGGAGAUGUUCGCCAAAGAUGUCCCAUUCUACCUUGAAAUGGAUGUGCCAAAGAAGCACAAUUGUGGAGGGAGGUAAUGCAAAUUCAUUUUUAACAAUAAAAUAUUGUGCACGUUAGAAGGCUGGAAGAACAUUUUGUUACAUGUUUGUAGUUUGUCUA